AGGCCCUACGGGGCGCAGCAGGCGCGAAACCUCCGCAAUGCGGGAAACCGCGACGGGGGGACCCCGAGUGCCGUGGCAUCGCCACGGCUUUUCCGGAGUGUAAAAAGCUCCGGGAAUAAGGGCUGGGCAAGGCCGGUGGCAGCCGCCGCGGUAAUACCGGCGGCCCGAGUGGUGGCCGCUAUUAUUGGGCCUAAAGCGUCCGUAGCCGGGCCCGUAAGUCCCUGGCGAAAUCCCACGGCUCAACCGUGGGGCUUGCUGGGGAUACUGCGGGCCUUGGGACCGGGAGAGGCGGGGGGUACCCCUGGGGUAGGGGUGAAAUCCUAUAAUCCCAGGGGGACCGCCAGUGGCGAAGGCGCCCCGCUGGAACGGGUCCGACGGUGAGGGACGAAGGCCAGGGGAGCAAACCGGAUUAGAUACCCGGGUAGCCCUGGCUGUAAAGGAUGCGGGCUAGGUGUCGGGUGAGCUUCGGGCUCGCCCGGUGCCGUAGGGAAGCCGUUAAGCCCGCCGCCUGGGGAGUACGGCCGCAAGGCUGAAACUUAAAGGAAUUGGCGGGGGAGCACUACAAGGGGUGGAGCGUGCGGUUUAAUUGGAUUCAACGCCGG
rnacentral:rRNA from 1 species